ensembl:lncRNA
CUAAAUCAUUUCACAUUUCAAAUAAUAUAUAUAUAUAUAUAUAUAUAUAUAUAUAUAUAUAUAUAUAUAUAUAUAUAUAUAUAUUCAAAACAGUUGUAUGAUUCUGAUCUGCUAAACAUUCUGAGAAAACCUGAAAAAAGUACCAAAAACAAACAAACAAAACAAAACAAAGCAAAACAAAGCAAAACAACAACAACAACAAAAAAGGUUUGUCAUAUAACCUAAAAAAUCAUGGAAAAGUCAUCUAAAAAAUUUCAGGAUUUAACUGAAGACUAAACCUGAAAACACCGGGUUACUCUGAUGAAAGAAUGUUUUAUGCGUCAGAUCAGAUAAAAGUAGAUCCUAAAUGUAGCUCAGUGGCACGUCUAAAAUUACUCUGAAUAAAAUCAGUAUUAUCUCAAGCUAAGAAUAAACAGAUCACGCUCUCCAUAAUGUUUUAAGCUGAUGGGAAUAAGCGGAGGAGAUGUUGACAGGUGCAGGUCUGUGCCAUGCAUUAAACACACACUGGGACUGAGUCUCUCUCUCGUCUCAGGCUGUAAAUGGCUUCAUUAGAGGCGGCGCUGUGGGGAAUGUGUGGAGUAUUUAUGAGGGUGAAUAUGGGCAGGUAGCAGCAGACAUUUGGAACCAAACAUCCAUUAGAAGGAUGAGAGAAGAUGCUGCUCCCAUGGCGAUGCUGAAUCUGUCGGCAUGGCGACACGGGGCACGUAUGCUGCCAAACGGGAUUUGCAAUGAAAGGCAGUAACAGAGUGUUUCAAAAUGACGAGAGAGAGAGAGUGUGAGAGUUAAAGUGUUCUGCCUACAUCACAGAUAGAGUAAAAACUGUACGUUAAAAUGCUCAGAGAUGAUACUGAUGUGAGCGACUGUCUCUCCGUCAGGAUGAUGGAAUGAGAGCGGGAGCAGCAGGGGUCCAUGAGGAACAGCAGCUUGAGCUCAGCAGGGUUAGAACGCACACACACACACACACACACACACACACACGCACGCACGCACGCACACACACGCACACACACGCACACACACACACACACACACACACACACGCGCACACACACACGCACGCACGCACGCACACACACACACGCAAAAUACUGACUGCAGUUCUGAACAAUACAGGAAGCUUCACCCUGAUAAAUUAGUCCCCAUGGUAACCACAGUUCUUACCAAAAUACCAUAUUUGCAGCAUCCACUGUACUGUUACUAAGGUAAAACUCAUUAUCAGCGCCACUGGAAUAUUAUACACAUGCACACACAAAAAAUUCAAAGAAGAAAGUGACAAGUUUGCUACACUGUUAGAAAGAGAUCUUACAUUCAUUUAAUAUGAUUAUAUUGUUACUAGACUUUUACAUUCUCUGAAGACAAUGUGAAUGAAAUAUGAAUGACAAAAACAACUCUCAACAAUGCUAGUGCAGUCUGGGCGGUUGCUAUGGUGUUGCUAUGGGGUUGAUAGUGUUCUUCAAUACUGCUAGCUUGUUGUUAAGGGGUUGCUUAGGUUUUCUGUGUGAUUACCAUGGAGUUCUAUGUGAUUAGUGUUCUGUGUGGUUGCUAGGAUAUUCUUGAUGUUGCUAGCGAUUUCUUAAUUUAAUAUGUGAUUAGUGUUCUAUGAUUGUCAGUGUGUUGCUAUGUUCUGUGUGGUUGCUAGGGUGUUGCUAUGGUGUUCAUACAGUGAUCUAAAAAUACUGCUAGGCUGAUGUUAGGGGGUUGCUAAGGCUUUUUGCGUGGUUAUCAUGGUUGCAACCAUGCUAUUCUGUUUGACUGGUGUUCCGUGUGGUUGCUAGGGUGUUGCUAUGUGGCUGAUAGUGUUCUGCAAUACUGCUAGGGUGUUGCUAGGUGGUUGCUAAGGUUUUUUUGUGUGGUUACCACGGUGUUCUACGUGAUUGUUACUGAGUUGAUAUGUAACUGAUAGAGUGUUUUGCUUAGUUGCAAGGGUGUUGCUAUGUUGCUUGAAAGAGUGUUCUGUGUGGUUGCUAUAGUGUUCUGGAUGUUGCUAGGGUGUUCUUUGAGGUUGUUGCUAAGGUGUUCUGUGUGGUUGCUAUGGAUAGUUGCUGUGUGGUUUGGAUAGUAAGGUGUCGCUGAGCAGUUGAUAGAUUGUUCUGCAUGUUUAUUUUAGAUCACUAAAACAUUAUGCAAGGUUGUUAGGGUGUUGCUAGGUGGUUGCUAUGGAGUUCUGGAUGGUUUCUACUGGGUGUUACUAUCUGGUGUGGCUCGGGUCUCUCCUUUAAUGUGUGUUCAGCUGGUUUCUGGUCCUGUAGGUGGAAAUGGUUUGUUUGAUCACUUAGUGCAGUAUCAGCACACUCUCCUCAACAACACACAUAAUCUGAGGAAACAUUCAAACGCUGCAGGACGAAACACACACUCAACUGUAACUCUUAGUGCUAGAGGUUUCAGCACAUCGCUAUCAAC